rnacentral:rRNA from 1 species
GUCUACAGCCAUGCCACCCUGAACAAGCCCGAUCCAGUCUGGUCUCAGAAGCUAAGCAGGGUUGGGCCUGGUUAGUACUUGGAUGGGAGACCACCUAGGAAGACCAGAUGCUGCUGGCG